rnacentral:rRNA from 1 species
UACGAAGGGGGCUAGCGUUGCUCGGAAUCACUGGGCGUAAAGGGUGCGUAGGCGGGUCUUUAAGUCAGGGGUGAAAUCCUGGAGCUCAACUCCAGAACUGCCUUUGAUACUGAGGAUCUUGAGUCCGGGAGAGGUGAGUGGAACUGCGAGUGUAGAGGUGAAAUUCGUAGAUAUUCGCAAGAACACCAGUGGCGAAGGCGGCUCACUGGCCCGGUACUGACGCUGAGGCACGAAAGCGUGGGGAGCAACAG